rnacentral:rRNA from 1 species
CCCAGACAGCCAGGAUGUUGGCUUAGAAGCAGCCAUCAUUUAAAGAAAGCGUAAUAGCUCACUGGUCGAGUCGGCCUGCGCGGAAGAUGUAACGGGGCUAAACCAUGCACCGAAGCUGCGGCAGCGACACUGUGUGUUGUUGGGUAGGGGAGCGUUCUGUAAGCCUGUGAAGGUGGCCUGUGAGGGUUGCUGGAGGUAUCAGAAGUGCGAAUGCUGACAUAAGUAACGAUAAAGCGGGUGAAAAGCCCGCUCGCCGGAAGACCAAGGGUUCCUGUCCAACGUUAAUCGGGGCAGGGUGAGUCGACCCCUAAGGCGAGGCCGAAAGGCGUAGUCGAUGGGAAACGGGUUAAUAUUCCCGUACUUGGUGUUACUGCGAAGGGGGGACGGAGAAGGCUAUGUUGGCCGGGCGACGGUUGUCCCGGUUUAAGCGUGUAGGUGUGUGUUCCAGGUAAAUCCGGUUCACUUUAACACUGAGGCGUGACGACGAGGCACUACGGUGCUGAAGCAACAAAUGCCCUGCUUCCAGGAAAAGCCUCUAAGCAUCAGGUAACAUCAAAUCGUACCCCAAACCGACACAGGUGGUCAGGUAGAGAAUACCAAGGCGCUUGAGAGAACUCGGGUGAAGGAACUAGGCAAAAUGGUGCCGUAACUUCGGGAGAAGGCACGCUGACA